rnacentral:rRNA from 1 species
UACGAAUGGAGCGAGCGUUGUUCGGAAUCACUGGGCGUAAAGCGUGCGCAGGCGGUCGUGAAAGUUAGAAGUGAAAGCCCAGGGCUUAACCUUGGAAUUGCUUUUAAAACUCCACGACUAGAGUACUGGAGGGGUUGGCGGAAUUUCGAGUGUAGCAGUGAAAUGCGUAGAUAUUCGAAGGAACACCGAUGGCGUAGGCAGCCAACUGGACAGUUACUGACGCUCAGGCACGAAAGUAUGGGGAGCAAACAGGAUUAGAAACCCCUAGUAGUCC